AACGAACGUUAGCGGCGCGCCUAACACAUGCAAGUCGAACGCGACAGGGGCAACUCUGUUGAGUGGCGCACGGGUGAGUAACACGUAGGUAAUCUCCCCUCGAGUGGUGGAUAACUUUCCGAAAGGAGAGCUAAUACAGCAUGAGACCACGGCUUCGAAAGGAGCUGAGGUCAAAGCGGAGGAUCGCACGACUUCGAGCUUGAGGAGGAGCCGGCGGCACAGCAGGUGGUUGGCGGGGUAAUGGCCCACCAAGCCUUAGACGGGUAGCUGGUCUGAGAGGAUGAUCAGCCACACUGGAACUGAGACACGGUCCAGACUCCUACGGGAGGCAGCAGUGGGGAAUCUUGCGCAAUGGACGAAAGUCUGACGCAGCGACGCCGCGUGGGUGAUGAAGGCCUUCGGGUUGUAAAGCCCUGUGGGGAGGGACGAAUAAGUUGCGGUUAAUACCCGCAGCGAUGACGGUACCUCCUUAGCAAGCACCGGCUAACUCUGUGCCAGCCGCCGCAGUAAGAC
rnacentral:rRNA from 1 species